rnacentral:lncRNA from 1 species
AAUUUUGAUUGGGUUCUUACCUCAGGACUGAGAGACUGAGCGUGCUGGUCUCCCUGUCGCAGGUUGUGCGGUCUCCUUAGGAUUUCAGGCUGAGCAUCGUCGCGUUGCUGGGAGAACUUAGUUCAUCCUGCACCCAACAUAAGACUCUACUAAUUUUGCUUGUUUAAUUUUUCCUUUCAGACGUUUGAUGCAAAUGAUUUGUAUCAGGGGCAGAAUUUUAACAAGGUCCUCAGUUCCUUAGUGACUCUAAAUAAAGUAACAGCAGGUAAGACUCUUUUUUAUUGAACUCGAGGGGGUGGGAAGACAUACGGGCUGACACCUUUGGUUUUCUUGUUUUACCAAAGCCAGGGGAGCAUUACUGAAUUUAAAAAAUAAGCUUUUGUUGCAUUACGUUUUGAUUGUUCCUUUUGCUGUGAUAUUUUAUUUGCCUUGUUAGAAUAGAAUCUUCUUUAAAUGUUCUGGUAUAUAUCAGGUGUUUUCCUUUCUGUGGGUGGAGAGAUUUCUCACCUGAACGUAUAGCAGGAGAAAAGUGUCUAGUUCUUAUGGGAAGGCUCAUGGGCUGUGUUGGAGCUAGAAGCACCUUUCUCUCAGUUUUUACUGAGUGUAUGCUGGUUAAAAUUUGUAUCUAGUGGGCAGAAGUUUUGAGCUGUGACCAUGAUAAGGUUAUAAUACAUUUCACAAACUUUUGAAAAUUAUAUUAGAGAAGAACUGAUUAAUAGUUAUCUCCAGAUAAUUUCUGGAAAGGUAGUUGGGGAAUGAAUGCAAGUCAUUUAUGUAGCAAAUAAUUUGUUCUUUGUUUUCUGCAUAAAUGGGCUGCUUUGUUGUGGUCUUUUGGUGUGUCCCUCUGUGCUGCCCUAGUUUUAAAGUCUAGUGUGUAGUGUGGGUGCGUGGUAUCAGGCGCUCUCAGCUCUCUUUUUCUGUGUGCAUGCUCUUUGCAGACAUCGGGCUGGGGAGUGACUCCGUGUGUGCCCGGCCCUCGUCUCACCGCAUAAAGUCUUUUGACUCCCUUGGAUCACAGUCUUUGCACACUCGGACUUCAAAACUGUUCCAGGGCCAGUAUCGGAGUUUGGUAAGUUUGAGAGAUUUUGUUACUUAAAUAUGUUUGGGAAGGAUAUGAGUGUGUAUG